GCCCUACGGGGUGCAGCAGGCGCGAAAACUUUACAAUGCUGGCAACAGCGAUAAGGGAACCUCGAGUGCCAGGUUACAAAUCUGGCUGUCGAGAUGCCUAAAAAGCAUUUCAUAGCAAGGGCCGGGCAAGACCGGUGCCAGCCGCCGCGGUAACACCGGCGGCUCGAGUGGUAACCGUUAUUAUUGGGUCUAAAGGGUCUGUAGCCGGCCGGAUAAGUCUCUUGAGAAAUCUGGCAGCUUAACUGUCAGGCUUUCAGGAGAUACUGUCUGGCUCGAGGCCGGGAGAGGUGAGAGGUACUUCAGGGGUAGGGGUGAAAUCUUGUAAUCCUUGAAGGACCACCAGUGGCGAAGGCGUCUCACCAGAACGGACCUGACGGCAAGGGACGAAAGCUAGGGGCACGAACCGGAUUAGAUACCCGGGUAGUCCUAGCCGUAAACGAUACUCGCUAGGUGUCGGCCACGGUGCGACCGUUGUCGGUGCCGUAGGGAAGCCGUGAAGCGAGCCACCCGGGAAGUACGGCCGCAAGGCUGAAACUUAAAGGAAUUGGCGGGGGAGCACCACAACGGGUGGAGCUUGCGGUUUAAUUGGAUUCAACGCCGGAAAUCUUAC
rnacentral:rRNA from 1 species